UGCUGCCUCAUUUCCUGAGCAGGAGGAGCGAGCGGAAAAGCUGCCAGAAGGCCAGGCCGGGGGCUUUCCGGCGGUUCCCACCCCCAACCCCCACCCUUGCACAGCUCCAAACCCAGGUGCCGGGACAGGCCGAAGCUUUCUGGGCCCCAUCCUCCAAAGUGCCCCACGCGGCAGCCUCCUUUCCAGGUCGGCCCAGGUGAGAGAGGUAUCUUAUGCCCUCAUGUUAUCAGGAAGGAGUCCUGUUACGGAUCACUGUCAGACCCUUCGUGCAACAGCCACAUGAGAGCCUCUGUUCUGUGAUAACUUCCCCCAAUUUCACUGCCACUUCUGCUUUGAGGUGCCCGGACAGUUGUUUCUGAGUUAGAAGCUACCUCUGCAGGGAUUGCCACGCAGGAUUUUUGGAAGCACAAUAGUAAAGAGACUUGAAAGUUGUACCAUCUUCUCUCUUGUUUGUUUGCACUCCUCCUGCCUUUCCAGUAAGCCAUUAUAACAAAUGUCUCCUCUGCUGCAAUUCUGUUUUCCCCUCAGAAUUAUGGUGUGGAGCAGGACUUGAGUCCUGACUCCUGAAAGGGCUUGUGGGGAAGACAGGUGCUGCCCUCAAAUGCCUGGUUCUGAGGACACUCCCUCCAGAGGCUCUAUCUUACUAUCUCCUUUUUGGAAAAUACUGAGCAAAUGUGGAGGUGUGGGGAAACCAGAAAUGAGGGGACAAAUCGGACCACCCUGCCCUAGGUGGGAGACUUUAUGAUAAUCACCUGUGACCAACAAAGAAUAACCAGCCCCUAAAAAGGAAGUAAGCCAUUGAAGGUGUUAUCAUUAAAGAUGUUGCAAGGAUUUAAGUUCUGGUUAGCUUUCUAUAAAAGACCAAUCCUUAAGGCCCUUGUUGGCAACCCUGUCCAACCCUAUUGGGACCCCUCUCACUCUUGAGAGCUUUUUCUGUAUCUUCACUUAAUAAACUUCUUACACAUGCAAAAAAAUAAAUAAACAAUAAAAAUAAAUAAAUAAAAUGCUGAACAACAAAAAAUACUGAGCAGUGAGCCAAUUUAGAGGCAACAAGUCAGACAGUAAAUAAUAUGCUUGGUAGGGUAACCUGUACACUGGUUUCUCCUCCGCCCCCUAAGGAAUUUGGAAGGAAGAACAGGGUUCUGAACCUCAGUAAACUCUAUCCUGAUGGCCUAAGAACUUUUCUAUCUCUUUUUGGAGAAAUGUGAUCAGAGGGGCUAUGGAAGCGGAAAUGAGAUGAUGUCAUCUGGGUGCCAAUCAGCAGGGGGCACUGUUUACCUCCCUUUGCCCUAGUGAAGCCACUGAGCUCUUAUCUUAGACAAACCCAAGGCUGCUGAGAGCACCACUGCAUUCCUGAGGCUGGUAGAUGUGAACAGAUAAUCUUCUCUUGAUCCAGGGAAACAGGUGGAUUGACUCCUGAUACCCUUUAAAGGCAUGAUGGAUGGGCAGCAAGGGGCCCAGUGCUAUUGUUUUCCUGGUGACCAACAAUACAACAGUAUAUCAGCAGGUGUAUAUGUCCAUCCCCAACUCUCAUCUCCCAUCCCUUCCAGUCUGGUAUGACUCUAUGUCCUAACCAUUGCACUCCUCUUUCCCCUUGUUUACCCUAAUUAGCUUCUGACCUCACCUCAGAUUGAGAGGACCUUAGACAUCAUCGUACAGCACUGUGAAUGUUCUUACUGCCACUGAACUGUACACUUAAAAAUGGUUAAAAUGGUCAAAAUGGGAAAUGUUA